rnacentral:rRNA from 1 species
UACGUAGGGGGCAAGCGUUGUCCGGAAUCAUUGGGCGUAAAGGGCUCGUAGGCGGUCCGUCACGUCGGGAGUGAAAACUCGGGGCUCAACCCCGAGCCUGCUUUCGAUACGGGCGGACUAGAGGUAGGUAGGGGAGAACGGAAUUCCUGGUGUAGCGGUGGAAUGCGCAGAUAUCAGGAGGAACACCGGUGGCGAAGGCGGUUCUCUGGGCAUUACCUGACGCUGAGGAGCGAAAGCAUGGGGAGCGAACAGG